rnacentral:rRNA from 1 species
AUUGAACGCUGGCGGCAGGCCUAACACAUGCAAGUCGAGCGAGCGGCGGACGGGUGAGUAAUGUAUGGGGACUGCCCGAUAGAGGGGGAUCACUACUGGAAACGGUAGCUAAUACCGCAUACUAUCGGAUAACCCAUAUGGGAUUAGGUAGUAGGUGGGGUAAAGGCUCACCUAGGCGACGAUCUCUAGCUGGUCUGAGAGGAUGAUCGGCCACACUGGGAUGGAGAAACGGCCCAGACUCCUACGGAGGCAGCAGAGGGGAAUAUUGGACAAUGGGCGCAAGCCUGAUGCAGCACGGCGGGGUGUAUGAAGAAGGCCUUAGGGUGUUAAAGUACUUUCAGCGGGGAGGCGUUACCCGCAGAAGAAGCGCCGGCUAACUCCGUGCCAGCAGCCGCGGUAAUUC